rnacentral:misc_RNA from 1 species
GAUGAAGAACGUAGCGAAAUGCGAUAAGUAAUGUGAAUUGCAGAAUUCAGUGAAUCAUCGAAUCUUUGAACGCACAUUGCGCCCGCCAGUAUUCUGGCGGGCAUGCCUGUCUGAGCGUCAUUUCAACCCUCAGCCCCCGCUCGCGGGGCGCUGGCGUUGGGGAUCGGCCGUCCUCGCGGCGGCCGGCCCCGAAACACAGUGACGGUCUCUCGCGGACUCCCCUGCGUAGUAGCACUACCUCGCAGAAGGGACGAGCGGGCUGACCACGCCGUAAAACCCCCCACUUCUCCAGGUUGACCUCAGAUCAGGUAGGAAUACCCGCUGAACUUAAGCAUAUCAAUAAGCGGAGGA